CUUUUCGGCCGCGGCGCGUGACUGGGCUUGGUGGAGUUUCAAGAUGCUGAUGAACUUAAGGUCUGGCGCUUGAAAGAAUCAGUGAAGCUUUUCAAGUAGAGGAGGUAUAUUUGAAUAUGUAACCUUUAUACUCUACUUUGAAGAAAGGAAUGGAACAGAAGGUGUCUGCAUAACUAAAUGGGGAUCUAGAGAAAGUGGAGACUGCCUCUGGAGCAGGGAGGAGGUGCCCUACUGUGUAUUGCUGGGGUCGUAUAGCCAAUUGGCGAACUAGCUGAUAAACCCUGGACAGAAAUAGAAACUACAAGAAGUGAAACAAAGUUCCAUCCAAGAAUGAAACAACAACUGAUCACGUGAGAUGCCCAUGUCAUCACUUGACCCACAGACAGGGGAGCAAAUAUAUUGAUGAUCUGGUCCUCCUGCCGGACUGUUGGUAUUCAUCCCUGUAAGUGAGAGGAAGGAAACAUUGCAACUUAAUGGGUGAGUCCUUCCUUCUGGUGAAUUUAACAUCAUGCAUUUGCUAGAUUUGCUAGCCAUGCAGUUAUGGUGAAAACAGGAAAGAUCCCUUUGGGUUUAACUAUAGAUUAGCCAUAGGAUUUGCAACCAGGAAAAGACCUUCAAGAUCAAUUCUAUUGGAACAUGGACAAUUAACAUAAAUAAACUGAGAAACAGACA
rnacentral:lncRNA from 1 species